rnacentral:lncRNA from 10 species
GCGGAAGGUUGCCCGGGCUGGCGCCGCUGGGCAGAGCCGGUGCGACGUUUCCCUUUCCAGCUUUGUUCUUCCGGCCCUGCUGUCUGCCUCCCCGGCUGAUUGGAUUCGUUACUGCUUUGCAACGCGCACCUAACUCCAGGCUGGAAUGCAAUAGCGUGGUCUUGGCUCACUGCAACCUCCGCCUCCCGGGUUCAAGCAAUUCUCCUGCCUCAGCCUCCUAAGUAGCUGGGACUACAGCAGCAGGUAGUCCCUGAGGAGCGGGGGCAGUGGCAGCCGGGUGGCACCCUGCCGGCAGCGGCUUCCCAACCGAGCGCGCACAGCUAGUCGGGCCAGGUGCUGCAGCUGCCUUGGCUGGUUCACCAUGCACAGGGCCGAGCUGUAGAAGGCUUCGUGCUCCUAGGCCAGGAGUGAAAGAAGGGGCCCUCCUGCUGCUCCCUCCAUGAGGCUGGUCCUGAAGGAAUAGGCCUGUGGCUCGUCCCUCCUCCCCAUCUCGGCCCUGAGGCAAACAUACCUUCCACAGCUCUGGGAGCACCGCCU